UACGGAGGAUGCAAGCGUUAUCCGGAUUUAUUGGGUUUAAAGGGUGCGCAGGUUGUUUGAUAAGUCAGUGGUGAAAGUCUGUCGCUUAACGGUAGGAUUGCCAUUGAUACUGUUAGACUUGAAUAUGGAUGAGGUAGGCGGAAUGUGUAGUGUAGCGGUGAAAUGCAUAGAUAUUACCCAGAACACCGAUUGCGAAGGCAGCUUACUAAUCCAUCAUUGACGCUGAGGCACGAAAGCGUGGGGAUCAAACAGGA
rnacentral:rRNA from 1 species